rnacentral:rRNA from 1 species
GGGGGAAAAUUAAUAAAAUAAUAAUAAUAAAAAAAUUUUUAAUAUUGGGGGGUAUUAAAGUAUUUUUUAGAAAAAAAAUAAAUUAUUUUAUAGUAAAUUAGUAUUGAGAAAGAAAUUUGAAAUAAAUGAAAAUAAAUUAAUAAAAAAGUAAUUUUAAUUUAAUGUAUCUUGUGUAUCAGAGUUUUUUAAAAAAUGUUUUUUAAAAAAAAAAAUCUCGAAUUUAAAAGAGUUAAUUAAUUAUAAGAAUUAAUGUAGAAAAAUUAUUUUAAAUAAUUAAUUUGAAAUGAAAUGUUAAUCGUUUUUAAAUAUAUCUAGUUAUUUUAGAAAAAAAUUUAAUUUAAAAUUUAAAAAAUUUUUUUAUUAAUUGAAAUUAAUAAAAAAAUUUUAAAAUUAAAUAUAUUAAGGGAUAAGCUUUAAUAUAAAAAUUUAUAAUAAUUUAAAUUUAAUUUAAAAUUUUUAAAAUUUAUAUUGUUUAAAAAUUAUAAUUUAUUAUAAAAAAUUUUAUUAAUAAUAAAAUUUAAUAUAAAUUUAAUUUUAUAUAAAAUAAUAAUUUUAAAUAAAAAAAAAAUUAAUUAUAAUGAUAAAAUUAGUAUAUUGUAAAUAAAAAAAAAUUUAAUUAAUAAGAAUUAAAUUAAAGGAAUUCGGCAAAAUUUUAUAUUCACCUGUUUAUCAAAAACAUGUCUUUUAGAUUAAUAAUUUAAAGUCUAAUCUGCCCACUGAUGAUAUAUUAAAGGGCUGCAGUAUAUUGACUGUACAAAGGUAGCAUAAUCAAUAGUCUUUUAAUUGAAGACUUGUAUGAAAGAUUUGAUGAAAUAUAAACUGUCUCUAAUUUAAGAAUAGAAUUUAAUUUUUUAGUUAAAAAGCUAAAAUAAUUUUAAAAGACGAGAAGACCCUAUAGAGUUUUAUAUUAAUAUUAUUUAAGAUUAUAUGUAUAAUUAAAAAUUAAAAAUAAAAAUAAUAUUUUAUUGGGGUGAUAGAAAAAUUUAAAUAACUUUUUUUAUAAAUUAAACAUAAAUAAAUGAAUAUAUGAUCCAUUUUUAAUGAUUAUAAGAAAAAAUUACCUUAGGGAUAACAGCGUAAUAUUUUUUUUUAGUACAAAUAAAAAAAAAAGUUUGCGACCUCGAUGUUGGAUUAAGAUAAAAUUUAAAUGCAAAAGUUUAAAAUUUUGAUCUGUUCGAUCAUUAAAAUCUUACAUGAUCUGAGUUCAAACCGGUGUGAGCCAGGUUGGUUUCUAUCUUUAAUAAAAAAAAAUAUUUUAGUACGAAAGGAUCAAAUAUUUUUAAUAAUUAAAAUUUAAUGAAUAUUAAUAAUUUAAUGGUAAUAA